rnacentral:rRNA from 1 species
UACGUAGGGUGCAAGCGUUGUCCGGAAUUAUUGGGCGUAAAGAGCUCGUAGGCGGUUUGUCGCGUCGAAUGUGAAAUCCCGGGGCUCAACCCCGGGCCUGCAUUCGAUACGGGCAGACUAGAGUUCGGUAGGGGAGACUGGAAUUCCUGGUGUAGCGGUGAAAUGCGCAGAUAUCAGGAGGAACACCGGUGGCGAAGGCGGAUCUCUGGGCCGAUACUGACGCUGAGGAGCGAAAGCGUGGGGAGCGAACAGG